UACGUAGGGCGCAAGCGUUAUCCGGAAUUAUUGGGCGUAAAGAGCUUGUAGGCGGUUUGUCGCGUCUGCUGUGAAAAUCCGGGGCUCAACCCCGGACUUGCAGUGGGUACGGGCAGACUAGAGUGUGGUAGGGGAGACUGGAAUUCCUGGUGUAGCGGUGAAAUGCGCAGAUAUCAGGAGGAACACCGAUGGCGAAGGCAGGUCUCUGGGCCACUACUGACGCUGAGAAGCGAAAGCAUGGGGAGCGAACAGG
rnacentral:rRNA from 1 species